CAGGCAGCUUGGGGGAUUAACAGGAAAGGCCUUUCUCACUCUAAGGGAAAGGGAGUAGCAUAGGAUUGCCGGUGUCGCAGAAAGGCAGUGCAAGCCCCACCUAAGCUUGCCAAAGGGAUGUCCUGAGACCUAGAUGGAACAGUCAAGUGCCAACACUCAUACGGGAAGGGGAACUGGUACACACCAGUUUGGAAAAUGACCAUCGUUGAAAGCACAGUCAACCUCCAACAGCAAAAUCACCCAGUGCCUCAACACAACUCUGGGAAGCACAACUCUAGAAGGAAAGUGGUAGGCUAACAGAAAUCCACUAGCAGUGAAACAUCCCUCUGCAAGGCUCAUGCAACCAGGAGCCAAAAUUCAAGUCCAAAGCCCUGGUGAGCAGGAAAGGAAGCUUGGGUUUAUUACCCACAAAUGGUAUUAAUUACAUGUAUAUUCAAGCUCAUUAUUUAUAAAUGUUUGACUUCAAGAGCACAGCAUCUUCUCUGAUGUGAGUAUGCCAUGCUAAGCAGUCCAGUGCCAGUGUCCCCCAUGUCAAACAAUCAGUUCCAAAGUUCUUAAGAGAGACCUUGAGAGUGUCCUUGAAUUGCUUCUUCUGACCACCAUGUGAAUGCUUGCCCUUGGGAAUUCUCUAUAAAAUAGUAUUUUUGGCAAGUGUAUGUUUUACAUUUAAA